AUGCCUCCUGCUGUUUUGGAGCCCUUGCGGCCUCUCCUUGCAGCUCAGGCGGAGGCGCUCGGCGCUGAGUUACAGGCCUUGUUCGCUGCUCGUCUUGAGGUGCUGUUCAAGCCUCUUCAAGACUUGGUUGCUGCUGUGGAGAGUUGGACUGCUCAAGUCUCAAGCCUAUGGGAACCUAUGGAAGCUAUCGGGGGCAGCCAAGACCUUGCCAAUGUUGAAUCUGCUCCUCCUGCUGUGGCCGUUGGUGAGGAUUGCAGUGCGCUUGUUGUGGCUGGCUGCUCAGCUGAGUUGAGUGAGAAGGUUCAGUCCGUUGAUGAUCCGCCUGCCUUGGAAAAGGUCAUGCUCGAGGAUGAUCCUCCUGACUUGGCUUCUGUCCUACCCGGGAUGUCGACACUGGAGGAGCCGAAGGUUUCCAGUGCUCCUUGCACCGGGAAGCCUUCAAAGGAGCUGAUCCAGAUGGGUGCAGAUGAGCCUCUUGGGAGAGCCUCCUCUCCGUGGGGGGAGUUCCUCAAAGAGCUUGCUCUCACUGUGUCGAGCUCGCCGCAAGUUUUGCAAGUGGAAGAGGCUGCCCCUUCUCUCUUUGAGCGACGAAGCUGCCGUUUGGACAAGAAAAACAAAGAUUGCGGCAUUCCUGUAGCCAAGCGCGCGGAGUAUAGGCGGGCGGAGGCCUUUGGAGAGGUUCCAACACUCAAGAGCAAAGGAAAAGCAUCUGAGGAAGACCUGAAUGAGAAGAUGCAACACUAUCUGCAAAUGUACAAGAAGGAACACACGCCCAAGGUGAUCGAGGCAGUGCGCGCAUUAGUUCAGCCCAAUGCUUGA
rnacentral:rRNA from 1 species